rnacentral:misc_RNA from 1 species
AAAAAAAAUUUAAUGACUAAAAAAAACCGAAAGUGAGGAUGGGCAAAACCGUACUUUAAAAAUAUCACCACCAGCGCGAUCAAAUGUCAACGAUCCGACCCGUUCUCAACGGUUGUGAUUGGCCCUUCCAAAAUCGCAUAGCUUCCUCGACCGGUUCGCGCAAAAUGACGCCGCCGCAGACAGAUGGGGCUUCACGGGAACCCUCACCUCGNGAACCCUCGCCUCCCCGGAGAAUCCCAUAUCGGGUGGCAAUCCGCCUUUCUGGUUCCAGUGCCGGUUAGGGCUGGCCCUCAGCAGAGGGCUCAAACAAAACGCUAAUCCCGAUACGUUUGUGCCGUUUCCCGGCUUCCCUCUCCUCAUCGCUGCUGGUGCUACUGGUGUCCUCUUCCACCACUGUGCCUGUGAUGACUCCGAAGAGGACCCACUGCCAGACGGAGACCGAUUGCAAUCCUCACAAUCAUCGUCGGAAUCCGCCCCUCUCGCUGGCGACAUUCCUCGAUCCAUCCUCCGACGUGGUUUAUGACCUACAACGCCCGAAUAUUGCUCAGAGAAGAGCGCAGAUUGCUUUUUCCUGCGACCAGAAAAUAUUGCAGACAACCAGGAAGGCGAAGAAGAUGAUGCCUCGCACGAAGUCCUAGAAGGAACUCCACGACCAGAAACAGAAGGAUCCGGAUUAAAUUUCUCGGAUCUGGACCUGAACAUAUUAGACAAACGGGAGAAUCUGGCGGGCUUAGCUUUACAAGUUGCAGAAGUGGCGAAGCCGGAUGCUGUGGAGGCAGAGUUGUAAGUGGGGCCCAUCUGGGGAGUGCUGUAG